UACGUAGGGGGCAAGCGUUGUCCGGAUUUAUUGGGCGUAAAGAGCUCGUAGGCGGCUUGUCGCGUCGAAUGUGAAAUCUCAGGGCUCAACUCUGACAUUGCAUUCGAUACGGGCAGGCUAGAGUUCGGUAGGGGAGACUGGAAUUCCUGGUGUAGCGGUGAAAUGCGCAGAUAUCAGGAGGAACACCAACGGCGAAGGCAGCUCGCUGGGACGGUACUGACGCUAAGGCGCGAAAGCGUGGGGAGCGAACAGG
rnacentral:rRNA from 1 species